UGGGGAAUAUUGGACAAUGGGCGCAAGCCUGAUCCAGCCAUACCGCGUGGGUGAAGAAGGCCUUCGGGUUGUAAAGCCCUUUUGUUGGGAAAGAAAAGCAGUCGGUUAAUACCCGAUUGUUCUGACGGUACCCAAAGAAUAAGCACCGGCUAACUUCGUGCCAGCAGCCGCGGUAAUACGAAGGGUGCAAGCGUUACUCGGAAUUACUGGGCGUAAAGCGUGCGUAGGUGGUUGUUUAAGUCUGUCGUGAAAGCCCUGGGCUCAACCUGGGAAUUGCGAUGGAAACUGGGCGACUAGAGUGUGGCAGAGGGUAGUGGAAUUCCCGGUGUAGCAGUGAAAUGCGUAGAGAUCAGGAGGAACAUCCGUGGCGAAGGCGACUGCCUGGGCCAAACACUGACACUGAGGCACGAAAGCGUGGGGGAGCAAAACAGGAUUAGAUACCCUGGUAGUCCACGCCCUAAACGAUGCGAACUGGAUGUUGGGUGCAAUUUGGCACGCAGUAUCGAAGCUAACGCGUUAAGUUCGCCGCCUGGGGAGUACGGUCGCAAGACUGAAACUUAAAGGAAUUGACGGGGGUCAA
rnacentral:rRNA from 1 species